ACGCUAGUAUUCAUGUUUUUUUUGUAUAUAUAUAUAUAUAUGUAUUUUCUCUUUCUUCAGUGCUCCAGCUCCCACUGCUCCCACUGCUCCCACUGCUCCCACUGCUCCAGCUGCUCCCACUGCUCCCACUGCUCCAGCUGCACAGAAAGCCCCGUCUGCAGCACCAGAACCCAAACAGGAAGCUGCCCCUAAACCGAGCGUCACUGAAGCAGCUCCAGCCGCUCCUGCUGCACCCAAAGCUCCGUCCACAGCACCAGAACCCAAACCCAAAACCGAGCCCACUCCCACUCCUAAACCCAGUGUCAUGGAACCACUGCCAGCAAAUGCCGCUCCAGUUACUCCAGUUGCUGCUGAAACUAAAACUCCUGCUGCAGUAAAACCUGAGGCCAAAUCAGAGCCUGCUCCUAAACCAAGUGUCACUGAGCCAGCUGUUCCAGCUGUUAAAACUGUUCCAGCUGCACAGAAACCCCCAUCUGCAGCACCAGAACCCAAACAGGAACCUGCUCCUAAACCAAAUGUUGUUGAGCCGGUUCCAGCUGUUCCAGUUGUUCCAGUUGUUCCAGUAGCACAGAAAGCUCCAUCCACAACACCAGAAACUAAACCCAAAACAGAGCCCACUCCCACUCCUAAACCCAGUGUGGUUGAGCCGGUUCCAGUUGUUCCAGCUGCUCCAGUAGCACAGAAAACCCCAGCACCAGCACCAGCACCAGAAACUAAACCCAAAACAGAGCCCACUCCCACUCCUAAACCAAGUGUCACUGAGCCGCUUCCAGCUGCACAGAAAACAACACCAGCACCAGAACCCAAACCCACAACACAACCCACUCCAAAAGCAAGGUUAGAUUUAUUUAUUUAAUGAUUCAGAAUGAUUCUACAUUCAUAUUGCGUCUGAUCUCUGAUUAAUCAGCC
rnacentral:lncRNA from 1 species